rnacentral:rRNA from 2 species
UUGAAGAGUUUGAUCAUGGCUCAGAUUGAACGCUGGCGGCAGGCCUAACACAUGCAAGUCGAACGGUAACAGGAAGCAGCUUGCUGCUUUGCUGACGAGUGGCGGACGGGUGAGUAAUGUCUGGGAAACUGCCUGAUGGAGGGGGAUAACUACUGGAAACGGUAGCUAAUACCGCAUAAUGUCGCAAGACCAAAGAGGGGGACCUUCGGGCCUCUUGCCAUCGGAUGUGCCCAGAUGGGAUUAGCUAGUAGGUGGGGUAACGGCUCACCUAGGCGACGAUCCCUAGCUGGUCUGAGAGGAUGACCAGCCACACUGGAACUGAGACACGGUCCAGACUCCUACGGGAGGCAGCAGUGGGGAAUAUUGCACAAUGGGCGCAAGCCUGAUGCAGCCAUGCCGCGUGUAUGAAGAAGGCCUUCGGGUUGUAAAGUACUUUCAGCGGGGAGGAAGGCGAUAAGGUUAAUAACCUUGUCGAUUGACGUUACCCGCAGAAGAAGCACCGGCUAACUCCGUGCCAGCAGCCGCGGUAAUACGGAGGGUGCAAGCGUUAAUCGGAAUUACUGGGCGUAAAGCGCACGCAGGCGGUCUGUCAAGUCGGAUGUGAAAUCCCCGGGCUCAACCUGGGAACUGCAUUCGAAACUGGCAGGCUAGAGUCUUGUAGAGGGGGGUAGAAUUCCAGGUGUAGCGGUGAAAUGCGUAGAGAUCUGGAGGAAUACCGGUGGCGAAGGCGGCCCCCUGGACAAAGACUGACGCUCAGGUGCGAAAGCGUGGGGAGCAAACAGGAUUAGAUACCCUGGUAGUCCACGCCGUAAACGAUGUCGACUUGGAGGUUGUGCCCUUGAGGCGUGGCUUCCGGAGCUAACGCGUUAAGUCGACCGCCUGGGGAGUACGGCCGCAAGGUUAAAACUCAAAUGAAUUGACGGGGGCCCGCACAAGCGGUGGAGCAUGUGGUUUAAUUCGAUGCAACGCGAAGAACCUUACCUACUCUUGACAUCCAGAGAACUUUCCAGAGAUGGAUUGGUGCCUUCGGGAACUCUGAGACAGGUGCUGCAUGGCUGUCGUCAGCUCGUGUUGUGAAAUGUUGGGUUAAGUCCCGCAACGAGCGCAACCCUUAUCCUUUGUUGCCAGCGGUCCGGCCGGGAACUCAAAGGAGACUGCCAGUGAUAAACUGGAGGAAGGUGGGGAUGACGUCAAGUCAUCAUGGCCCUUACGAGUAGGGCUACACACGUGCUACAAUGGCGCAUACAAAGAGAAGCGACCUCGCGAGAGCAAGCGGACCUCAUAAAGUGCGUCGUAGUCCGGAUUGGAGUCUGCAACUCGACUCCAUGAAGUCGGAAUCGCUAGUAAUCGUGGAUCAGAAUGCCACGGUGAAUACGUUCCCGGGCCUUGUACACACCGCCCGUCACACCAUGGGAGUGGGUUGCAAAAGAAGUAGGUAGCUUAACCUUCGGGAGGGCGCUUACCACUUUGUGAUUCAUGACUGGGGUGAAGUCGUAACAAGGUAACCGUAGGGGAACCUGCGGUUGGAUCACCUCCUU